rnacentral:rRNA from 1 species
AGAUUGAACGCUGGCGGCAGGCCUAACACAUGCAAGUCGAGCGGUAGAGAGGUGCUUGCAUCUCUUGAGAGCGGCGGACGGGUGAGUAAUGCCUAGGAAUCUGCCUAGUGGUGGGGGAUAACGUUCGGAAACGGACGCUAAUACCGCAUACGUCCUACGGGAGAAAGCGGGGGACCUUCGGGCCUCGCGCCAUUAGAUGAGCCUAGGUCGGAUUAGCUAGUUGGUGAGGUAAUGGCUCACCAAGGCGACGAUCCGUAACUGGUCUGGAGAGGAUGAUCAGUCACACUGGGACUGAGAC